rnacentral:rRNA from 1 species
GUGGGGAAUAUUGCGCAAUGGGGGGAACCCUGACGCAGCAACGCCGCGUGAGUGAAGAAGGUCUUCGGAUCGUAAAACUCUGUCAUCGGGGACGAAGUAAGUGACGGUACCCGGAGAGGAAGCCCCGGCUAACUACGUGCCAGCAGCCGCGGUAAUACGUAGGGGGCGAGCGUUGUCCGGAAUUACUGGGCGUAAAGGGUGCGUAGGCGGUAUGUUAAGUCAGAUGUGAAAUACCAUGGCUCAACUGUGGUAUUGCAUUUGAAACUGGCAUGCUAGAGUGCAGGAGAGGGAAGUGGAAUUCCUAGUGUAGCGGUGAAAUGCGUAGAGAUUAGGAGGAACACCAGUGGCGAAGGCGGCUUCCUGGCCUGUAACUGACGCUGAGGCACGAAAGCGUGGGGAGCAAACAGGAUUAGAAACCCGUGUAGUCC